UACGGAGGGUGCAAGCGUUAUCCGGAUUCACUGGGUUUAAAGGGUGCGUAGGCGGGCAUUUAAGUCAGUGGUGAAAUACCUGAGCUUAACUUGGGAACUGCCAUUGAUACUAUUUGUCUUGAAUGUCGUGGAGGUUAGCGGAAUAUGUCAUGUAGCGGUGAAAUGACUUAGUAUAUGACAUAGAACACCUAUUGCGAAGGCAGCUAACUACGCGAAUAUUGACGCUGAGGCACGAAAGCGUGGGGAUCAAACAGG
rnacentral:rRNA from 1 species